rnacentral:rRNA from 1 species
GCAUCACUGGUGUUCGGGUUGUCAUGCCAAUGGCACUGCCCGGUAGCUAAAUGCGGAAGAGAUAAGUGCUGAAAGCAUCUAAGCACGAAACUUGCCCCGAGAUGAGUUCUCCCUGACCCUUUAAGGGUCCUGAAGGAACGUUGAAGACGACGACGUUGAUAGGCCGGGUGUGUAAGCGCAGCGAUGCGUUGAGCUAACCGGUACUAAUGAACCGUGAGGCUUAACCUU